UGGGGAAUAUUGGACAAUGGGCGCAAGCCUGAUCCAGCCAUGCCGCGUGAGUGAUGAAGGCCCUAGGGUUGUAAAGCUCUUUCACCGGUGAAGAUAAUGACGGUAACCGGAGAAGAAGCCCCGGCUAACUUCGUGCCAGCAGCCGCGGUAAUACGAAGGGGGCUAGCGUUGUUCGGAUUUACUGGGCGUAAAGCGCACGUAGGCGGACUAUUAAGUCAGGGGUGAAAUCCCGGGGCUCAACCCCGGAACUGCCUUUGAUACUGGUAGUCUUGAGUUCGAGAGGGGUGAGUGGAAUUCCGAGUGUAGAGGUGAAAUUCGUAGAUAUUCGGAGGAACACCAGUGGCGAAGGCGGCUAACUGGCUCGAUACUGACGCUGAGGUGCGAAAGCGUGGGGAGCAAACAGG
rnacentral:rRNA from 1 species